GACGAACCGUCCAAACGUUAUUCGGAAUUACUGGGCUUAAAGGGUGCGUAGGCGGCUCUGCAAGUUGGGUGUGAAAUCCCUCGGCUCAACCGAGGAAUGGCGCCCAAAACUGUGGAGCUCGAGGGAGACAGAGGUGAGUGGAACUUGUGGUGGAGCGGUGAAAUGCGUUGAUAUCACAAGGAACACCGGUGGCGAAAGCGGCUCACUGGGUCUCUUCUGACGCUGAGGCACGAAAGCUGGGGGAGCGAACGGGAUUAGAUACCCGCGUAGUCCCU
rnacentral:rRNA from 1 species